rnacentral:lncRNA from 1 species
CUCUUGUUCUGCUGCCUCCAAUCUAGAGGAGACAGGGAACUCCUGUACAACUCCCUUGGCUCCUCUCUGUCAGAAAUGUGUUUACUUCUGCUUACUUCUCCCAUUCUUCUCAGUUGUUCUCUUUUAAUAGUGCAGCAUCCCCUUUAAUCAUGGAUUUGAUCUUGGAAGAACUAAAUCUUAUGUAUCUAAAAAGAGCUGAGUGAGGUGAUGUCCCUUGUCACAAUACUCACUUGCAUUUGCAAGAGCAAUAAACACAGUAUUUAAAAUAUUCUCGGGUAUGAAUGUACAUCAUAUCUUCUGUUUCACAGUUAUUUCUUAUACUUGUGCUAUUACUUCAUACUUACUGCAAAGUAACUCACUCCUCUUUUGUGAACUUUAGGGCGAUGCUUCGCGUAUGUACUGUCUAUACGUGAAAUCGGCCUCUCUCUGCUGUUGGCUUCUGUGAUCAUUUCCAUGUAAUAUAUUUUGAUUAUCUGAUCCAAAUCUCUUAGGUGAAAAGCCAUCAAUAGUUCUUCAAGUCAAGCAUUUUUUCUCCCUUAGUUCUAUCACCAGUGUGCUUCCUUGGAAAAGUUUUGUGUGUAUUUUGCAUAGCCAGCAUGCUUUAACUGUCUUGUCUCUCUCCUAAAUGGAAGCGUGCUGUAUCCUUACAUUGCCUUAUAGGCCUCAAGUCAGCCCUGGAGUUCUGCAGCGUUGUUUGAAUUGGUCCUGCCUCUGGCAUACCUUGUCUCCAGGAUACACUGUACACAUUCUUUGCCCAGCUUCAAAUGUCUUCACCGAAUGGGUGUCUCAUGGCACCUUUCCAUAUGGCUUGCACUAACACAUAUUUCUCAUAAGAGUUGCUGCUCCUAUAUUUUUGCUGCAUGGCCACCAAAAAUAACAAGGUAUUUGGAAAAAUAUGCACGAUUCAUGACAAUCUCCUCUUUAAGGGUGGCAAGAGAGGUAGCUUCUAUGCCAAGUUCUCCAGACUGCCUCUUGACAUUGGUGAAUCUCUUAUCCCUAUAGAAGAGAUGUGGCUGUUGAUGCUGUUCCUCUGGUGGCUAUGGCCAACGUUUGUAUGUUGGAUCUCAGCAACUAUUUUCUUGCAAUGACUAGGUAGGCAAAUCCAUAUCACUGGGACAGAGAUGAAGGUGCCUGUGUCACUUAAAACAACUAAUUUCAAAGGAAUUAAUUUGUAAAAAAAAUGUAGUCAGAUUGCUCCCUUAAUUGUCACAUUCAGUCCCUGGAAACGUACUCCUGGCAUUCAGAAUGACUACAUUUUCUUUGCAUCCUUUUCAACACAUUUACAAACUCUUCAUUAGUCUUGUCUGGAAAGUGAUGCUAUGGACUUAUUGUGAACAAACAAAAUGUACUUACAAUCUGACCUGAACCUGAAUCUUGGGCUACCUUUGAAAAACCUUUUAAACAGUUGCUAAAGGGUUAAUUUAAGAAAUAAGUACAAGACUAGUAAAUGCAAGGGACAGGCAAUUACCCUCCCUGCGUGCUGUGUUAUCACAUAGAUAGAAUUAUCUUUCUCUGAUUUCUGUGUGGAAAAUUGGAUUAAAAAUCCUUUCUUGGGAACAAUCCAUGAAAAACACCUGGCUCUGUGAAGCUGAUUACUCUGUUUGAGUGCUUAGAUGACUGGAAUUGACAUUUCCAUAGUAAAAGUAUCUGAAGAGAUUUUUGGAACAGGUUGCCCAGGGAAGUUACAGCUCUCCAUCCCUGGAAGUGUUCAAGGCCAGAUUGGAUGGGCCUUUGAACAACCUUGUUUAGUGGAAGGUGUCACUGACCAUAGCAGUAGAGCUGGAACACUAUGGUCUUUAAGGUUCCUUCCAACCUAAACCCUUCUAUGAUUUCAUUCUAUGAUUUUAUGUUAGUGAGGGAUCACACUUUAAAAGGCACUGGAUGAGAAAAGGAAGCAGAGGGAGGUGCUGGGCUCUGCUCCUGGGAACCAAGGCCAGGAUGCACAUGAAUGGCACAAAACUGCUUCAGGGGAGGUGGCUCAUGGUGGACAAUAGAAAAAAUUUCUUUAAUGUUGGGAGUGGCCGAACUCUGGCACAAGCUUUCUAGAGAGGUGACUGAUGCUCCAUGGUUUAUCAGUGUUCAAGAGAU